GAGACGUCGGGCGAUGAAUGAGCGGCUCCCCAGGCCAGGCGCCAGCCACUGCUGCUCUGUGCCCAGCGGUGUCCUGGCCAGCAUGAGGUCACGUGUUCCCACAGGACAUGCCCUCAGAGAAGGUCACCUUGCCAGAUUCCCAGCUAGUCCUCCUCAUCCCACAGGCAGGCAGGGGCCCAGCAGGAGGUGCAGAGGGAAGCUCAGGGCCACAUCAGCAUGUCCCAGUGUCAGGUGGAGUGAGCAAGGCUCCCAGGAGAAACUUGCUUGUCCCUCCUGCAUGUGCCUUUCCUCCCCCACCCCUUGCCUCUGGGGCAGCCGCACUCCGGCAGCACAACUGGCCGCCUCAAGUCCAGGGGGCCAUGCUGCCGUGGCACCGAGGGGCACACUGUCUGAUGCGCCUCAUCUUUUCUGUGCACAUGGGCAACGGACAACUCAGCGGCCACGGUAACCACGGAGAUGCCUCCAGAAGGUGGAGAACCCACCCCACAGGGCUGUGGCACACAAAAGACACCACUGUGCAGAGCCAGAUGCCCUUCCCAGCUGGACAGCACCCUGGCACGCCAGCCACGCUCUCUGGGAUCAGAAGUGGAAUACUAAGGGGGCUCUCCUGGUCACAUGUCGUCCUCCAAGGUUCUCCACUGGCCUGGGAAGCUUUGCAGACACACUGAUGCAGAGCCUGCUGCCCGGAGCUGCUUCAGUCCGGGUGGCUAAGAACCUCCCCUCCGACGGUAUGUGAAGCCAAGUCAAAAGCCCACUGCUUCAAUGCUUGGGGUGGAAAUGAGUAAACUCUAGUUGGAAACAAGAGUACAGAGGCCCAGAGAGGCUUCCUCUUGUGUUUGGGUCACACAGCUCUUUGCUUGCACAGUGAUUGCAGUCCUGAUUUUCUUAGCCCAAAGUUGAUUUCCUUCAGAUACAGCCCUGAGCCCGGCUGAAUAUCAGAAUCACUAGGAGACUUGAAUCAGGACUGGAGUCUGGAUUUCAACCAAUAUCAGGCACUCUUCUUUCUAAAUCUCCUCCUGUGAAUGGAAUGUAAAAACUAGGUUUGAAGUCAAUUUUACUACCCUGCAAUCAACUGUCUCGAGCUCCCUGGAGUGCGUGUUGACAGGGUUGACUCUAGGACUCCACCUCGGCUCACCAAGGCACAGUGUGUGACCUGGGGUCCGGGAGCCGGGUUUGAAAUCCAGAUCAAGCCCUCUGGCAGGCCUUCCGUUGUGUCGUGAUGAGCGUCCUCCAUUCCGUACCCAAGCAUUUAAGGCUGAGUGGCUCUUCUGGUCCUCUCCGGGUCCCCUCCCUCCCUCUGUCUCUCCUCCUUCUCCCCCGCUCUUUUUGUGUGUAUGUGUCUGUGUAUUAAAAAACCACUCUGCUGUC